GGGCCCGCACAAGCGGAGGAACAUGUGGUUUAAUUCGAUGAUACGCGAGGAACCUUACCCGGGUUUGAACGCAUUUCGACCGUAGGGGAAACCCUAUUUCUAGCAAUAGCGAUUUGCGAGGUGCUGCAUGGUUGUCGUCAGCUCGUGCCGUGAGGUGUCGGCUUAAGUGCCAUAACGAGCGCAACCCUUACCGUCAGUUACCAUCAAGUAAAGUUGGGGACUCUGGCGGGACUGCCGGCGUAAGCUGCGAGGAAGGUGGGGAUGACGUCAAAUCAGCACGGCCCUUACAUCCGGGGCGACACACGUGUUACAAUGGGGGGGACAGAGGGCCGCUACCCGGCGACGGGAUGGCCAAUCCCUUAAACCCCUUCUCAGUUCGGAUCGGAGUCUGCAACCCGACUCCGUGAAGCCGGAUUCGCUAGUAAUCGCGCAUCAGCCAUGGCG
rnacentral:rRNA from 1 species